AGCGAACGCUGGCGGCAGGCCUAACACAUGCAAGUCGAACGGAUCCUUCGGGAUUAGUGGCGGACGGGUGAGUAACACGUGGGAACGUGCCCUUUGGUUCGGAACAACUCAGGGAAACUUGAGCUAAUACCGGAUGUGCCCUUCGGGGGAAAGAUUUAUCGCCAUUGGAGCGGCCCGCGUCUGAUUAGCUAGUUGGUGAGGUAACGGCCCACCAAGGCGACGAUCAGUAGCUGGUCUGAGAGGAUGAUCAGCCACACUGGGACUGAGACACGGCCCAGACUCCUACGGGAGGCAGCAGUGGGGAAUCUUGCGCAAUGGGCGAGAGCCUGACGCAGCCAUGCCGCGUGAAUGAUGAAGGUCUUAGGAUUGUAAAAUUCUUUCAGCGGGGACGAUAAUGACGGUACCCGCAGAAGAAGCUCCGGCUAACUUCGUG
rnacentral:rRNA from 1 species